AACGACUCUCGGCAACGGAUAUCUCGGCUCUCGCAUCGAUGAAGAACGUAGCGAAAUGCGAUACUUGGUGUGAAUUGCAGAAUCCCGUGAACCAUCGAGUCUUUGAACGCAAKUUGCGCCCGAAGCCWUUAGGCCGAGGGCACGCCUGCCUGGGCGUCACACGUC
rnacentral:rRNA from 1 species